rnacentral:rRNA from 1 species
AGCGAACGUUUGCGGCGGGCCUAACACAUGCAAGUCGAACGGGCUAGCAAUAGUCAGUGGCGCACGGGUGCGUAACACGUGGGUAAUCAACCCUUCAGCUUGGGAUAACGCCUUGAAAGGGGCGCUAAUACCGGAUACGGCGCGAGAGACUUCGGUCUUUCACGAGAAAGGUUCGCAAGGACCACUGAGGGACGAGCCUG